UGCAAGUCGAACGAUGAACCACUUCGGUGGGGAUUAGUGGCGAACGGGUGAGUAACACGUGGGCAAUCUGCCCUUCACUCUGGGACAAGCCCUGGAAACGGGGUCUAAUACCGGAUAACACUGCGGAUCGCAUGGUCUGCGGUUGAAAGCUCCGGCGGUGAAGGAUGAGCCCGCGGCCUAUCAGCUUGUUGGUGGGGUGAUGGCCUACCAAGGCGACGACGGGUAGCCGGCCUGAGAGGGCGACCGGCCACACUGGGACUGAGACACGGCCCAGACUCCUACGGGAGGCAGCAGUGGGGAAUAUUGCACAAUGGGCGAAAGCCUGAUGCAGCGACGCCGCGUGAGGGAUGACGGCCUUCGGGUUGUAAACCUCUUUCAGCAGGGAAGAAGCGAAAGUGACGGUACCUGCAGAAGAAGCGCCGGCUAACUACGUGCCAGCAGCCGCGGUAAUACGUAGGGCGCAAGCGUUGUCCGGAAUUAUUGGGCGUAAAGAGCUCGUAGGCGGCUUGUCACGUCGGAUGUGAAAGCCCGGGGCUUAACCCCGGGUCUGCAUUCGAUACGGGCAGGCUAGAGUGUGGUAGGGGAGAUCGGAAUUCCUGGUGUAGCGGUGAAAUGCGCAGAUAUCAGGAGGAACACCGGUGGCGAAGGCGGAUCUCUGGGCCAUUACUGACGCUGAGGAGCGAAAGCGUGGGGAGCGAACAGGAUUAGAUACCCUGGUAGUCCACGCCGUAAACGUUGGGAACUAGGUGUUGGCGACAUUCCACGUCGUCGGUGCCGCAGCUAACGCAUUAAGUUCCCCGCCUGGGGGAGUACGGCCGCAAAGGCUAAAACUCAAGGAAUUGACGGGGGCCCGCACAAGCAGCGGAGCAUGUGGCUUAAUUCGACGCAACGCGAAGAACCUUACCAAGGCUUGACAUAUACCGGAAAGCAUCAGAGAUGGUGCC
rnacentral:rRNA from 1 species